rnacentral:rRNA from 1 species
CGCUCGCAGAGUAAACCAGUUUACUGGUGUGCGAAGCGAAGGCAAUCACAACAGACCCAAUCAACCCCGGCUAGGGAAGAGACGGCGAGGGAAAAUCGAAUGAAGUGCUGGAGUACACGAGCGGCGGACGGCUGAGUAACGCGUAGGAACGUACCCCAAACUGAGGGAUAAGCACCAGAAAUGGUGUCUAAUACCGCAUGUGCUCUAAGGAGUAAAGCUUCGGCGGUUUGGGAACGGCCUGCGUACGAUUAGAUUGUUGGUGAGGUAAUGGCUCACCAAGUCGACGAUCGUUAGCUGGUCUGAGAGGAUGAUCAGCCAGACUGGGACUGAGAACGGCCCAGACUCCUACGGGAGGCAGCAGUAGGGAAUUUUCCACAAUGGACGAAAGUCUGAUGGAGCAACGCCGCGUGCAGGAUGAAUGCCUUCGGGUUGUAAACUGCUUUUAUCUGUGACGAAUAUGACGGUAGCAGAUGAAUAAGGAUCGGCUAACUCCGUG